GGGUGACUGCGUACCUUUUGUAUAAUGGGUCAGCGACUUAUAUUUUGUAGCGAGGUUAACCGAAUAGGGGAGCCGAAGGGAAACCGAGUCUUAACUGGGCGAAGAGUUGCAAGGUAUAGACCCGAAACCCGGUGAUCUAGCCAUGGGCAGGUUGAAGGUUGGGUAACACUAACUGGAGGACCGAACCGACUAAUGUUGAAAAAUUAGCGGAUGACUUGUGGCUGGGGGUGAAAGGCCAAUCAAACCGGGAGAUAGCUGGUUCUCCCCGAAAUCUAUUUAGGUAGAGCCUUGAGGUGACACCUUUGGGGGUAGAGCACUGUUUCGGCUAGGGGUCCAUCCCGGAUUACCAACCCGAUGCAAACUACGAAUACCAAAGAGUGAUACUCAGGAGACACACGGCGGGUGCUAACGUCCGUCGUGGAGAGGGAAACAACCCAGACCGCCAGCUAAGGUCCCCAAGUCUAUAUUAAGUGGGAAACGAAGUGGGAAGGCUUAGACAGCUAGGAUGUUGGCUUAGAAGCAGCCAUCAUUUAAAGAAAGCGUAAUAGCUCACUAGUCGAGUCGGCCUGCGCGGAAGAUGUAACGGGGCUGAAAUAUAGCACCGAAGCUGCGGCAUCAGGCGUAUCACUAAUACGCCUUACGAUUAACAAGCUAGAAUGGCGCGAAGCGGCAUGAAAGGUUGUUCAAGCAACCCGAACGUUGAGUCGGGGUAUUUUUGAAGUAAGGAUUAUUAGUGAUACGCCUGUUGGGUAGGGGAGCGUUGUGUAAGCGGAUGAAGGUUAAUCGAGAGGUUAGCUGGACGUAUCACAAGUGCGAAUGCUGACAUAAGUAACGAUAAAACGGGUGAAAAACCCGUUCGCCGGAAGACCAAGGGUUCCUGUCCAACGUUAAUCGGGGCAGGGUGAGUCGGCUCCUAAGGCGAGGCUGAAAAGCGUAGUCGAUGGGAAACAGGUUAAUAUUCCUGUACUUGGUAAAGCUGCGAUGUGGGGACGGAGUAGGUUAGGUUAUCGCACUGUUGGAUAUGUGCGUUUAAGUUGGUAGGUGGGAAGUUUAGGCAAAUCCGGACUUCCUUAACACAGAGAGAUGAUGACGAGGCUCUACGGAGCUGAAGUAACUGAUACCACACUUCCAGGAAAAGCCACUAAGCGAAAGGCUUUACUAAACCGUACUGAAAACCGACACAGGUGGUCAGGUAGAGAAUACUCAGGCGCUUGAGAGAACUCGGGUGAAGGAACUAGGCAAAAUAGCACCGUAACUUCGGGAGAAGGUGCGCCGGCGUAGAUUGUAGUCCCUAGCGGGCGAAGGUUGAACCGGUCGAAGAUACCAGCUGGCUGCAACUGUUUAUUAAAAACACAGCACUCUGCAAACACGAAAGUGGACGUAUAGGGUGUGAUGCCUGCCCGGUGCUGGAAGGUUAAUUGAUGGUGUAAUCGCAAGAGAAGCACCUGAUCGAAGCCCCAGUAAACGGCGGCCGUAACUAUAACGGUCCUAAGGUAGCGAAAUUCCUUGUCGGGUAAGUUCCGACCUGCACGAAUGGCAUAAUGAUGGCCAGGCUGUCUCCACCCGAGACUCAGUGAAAUUGAAAUCGCCGUGAAGAUGCGGUGUACCCGCGGCUAGACGGAAAGACCCCGUGAACCUUUACUAUAGCUUGACACUGAACAUUGAAUUUUGAUGUGUAGGAUAGGUGGGAGCCUUUGAAGCAGUGACGCCAGUCAUUGUGGAGGCGACCUUGAAAUACCACCCUUUAACGUUUGAUGUUCUAACGAAGAUGACGAAACGUGGUCUCGGACAGUGUCUGGUGGGUAGUUUGACUGGGGCGGUCUCCUCCCAAAGCGUAACGGAGGAGCACGAAGGUUUGCUAAUCACGGUCGGACAUCGUGAGGUUAGUGCAAUGGUAUAAGCAAGCUUAACUGCGAGACAGACAAGUCGGGCAGGUACGAAAGUAGGUCAUAGUGAUCCGGUGGUUCUGAAUGGAAGGGCCAUCGCUCAACGGAUAAAAGGUACUCCGGGGAUAACAGGCUGAUACCGCCCAAGAGUUCAUAUCGACGGCGGUGUUUGGCACCUCGAUGUCGGCUCAUCACAUCCUGGGGCUGAAGUAGGUCCCAAGGGUAUGGCUGUUCGCCAUUUAAAGUGGUACGCGAGCUGGGUUUAGAACGUCGUGAGACAGUUCGGUCCCUAUCUGCCGUGGGCGUUGGAUGAUUGAUUGGGGCUGCUCCUAGUACGAGAGGACCGGAGUGGACGCAUCACUGGUGUUCCAGUUGUCUCGCCAGAGGCAUUGCUGGGUAGCUAAAUGCGGAAGAGAUAAGUGCUGAAAGCAUCUAAGCACGAAACUUGCCAAGAGAUGAGUCAUCCCUGACUUUAAGUCAGUAAGGGUUGUUGUAGACUACGACGUAGAUAGGUCAGGUGUGUAAGUGUAGUGAUACAUUGAGCUAACAGAUACUAAUUGCCCGAGAGGCUUAACUAU
rnacentral:rRNA from 1 species